UUUCCCCGCUUGCCCAAGCCCUCACCUCCGGCCGUUUCUUCUUCUUUCCAAAACCGCCAUCGCCGUUCGUUUCUUCCUCUCUUCCCCUCUAGUACAAAAGCUUCAAGUCUUUCCUUGCGUUGACUCAAUUCCUCUUCGCCUCGGCUCCUUCCCAUCGCAGCGCCGAGAGUCACCACAGAGAUCUCUCUGUCACCGAGCCCUAGCUUCCGAGCCGCACACCGCCAACCAUCUUCUCGGUCGUGUCUCUUCCUUCUCCUCUACUCAUCGUCGCUGACCUUCGCGGGUUGACACCGGCCGUUUGAGCCCUAGCACUGAUGCUGACGAUUAGAGCACCACCUGAUCUCCUCGCGCCUUCACCGUCAUCACUCGAUCUCUCCAAACAUGCGACACUGCCCUUGUUACCAUAAGCAGCCAACACUGUGUGACUGUGAUUUAGGGCAUUGAAGAAGCAGUGAGCUCCCUCUUCACUAAGCACCGGGGUAUCCAAAUACCAGCUACCACACUUGAGGACAUUGAUUCGGGACAAGCACUUCGACAUUUCGAUUGAUUAGCUCGAUCUACAUUGGAGGCGGGUACCUUGACCUAUCUAUUUUGAUACAUCUUGUUGAUAUGCUUAGUAGAUUUUUAAUAAGU